rnacentral:rRNA from 1 species
GACGAACCGUGCGAACGUUGUUCGGAAUCACUGGGCUUAAAGGGCGCGUAGGCGGAUCACCAAGUCCGGGGUGAAAUCUUUCGGCUUAACCGGAAAACAGCCCUGGAUACUGGUGGUCUCGAGCGAGGUAGGGGCCGUUGGAACUUCCGGUGGAGCGGUGAAAUGCGUUGAUAUCGGAAGGAAGACCAGUGGCGAAGGCGGGUCUCUGGACAGUUCCUGACGCUGAGGCACGAAGGUCAGGGGAGCAAACGGG